UGAGAGGGCCUCCCAUCCGCG
rnacentral:misc_RNA from 1 species